rnacentral:rRNA from 1 species
CUCCUACGGGAGGCAGCAGUAAGGAAUAUUGGUCAAUGGACGCAAGUCUGAACCAGCCACGCCGCGUGCAGGAUGAAGGCGCUCUGCGUCGUAAACUGCUUUUUACAAGGAAGAAAAGAUUUGUUUCUACAGAUUUUGACGGUACUUGAGGAAUAAGCACCGGCUAACUCCGUGCCAGCAGCCGCGGAAUU